rnacentral:lncRNA from 1 species
GAAAAGCUUGAGGGUCGAUGAUGAUGAUUUUGUGGACGAUUCACCCAAAGUUCAAAAAACAAAAAUACAGAAGGUGUCUCAUUCCCCUUCAAAGCAAAAAAAGUUGAAACAUUCUAAAUAAACCACAAAAUUGGUUCCACAACAAGUUUCAGUGAAGGUAAACAACUUUUUUUUUCUCGACAAUAUUUUGUAGUUUAAUAUUUUUUUUGCCAAACAAUUAGAAUUCAAUUGUUUUUUUGGCGUCUAAGUGUUUUUUGUAAAAAUAUAAUGUAUUAUUGCAUAUUAGGGUUGCUUAUACAAAUUGUAGUUAAUUGUUAUUAUUCGGAGUUAAUGUGUAAUUGUUUGGCAGAAUAUAGUAUAUUAGGGUUGCUUAUACAAAUUGUAGUUAAUUGUUAUUAUUCGAAGUUAAUGUGUAAUAGUUUGGCAGAAUAUAGUGUUGAAUCAAAUUUGUAGUCAAUUGUAGGUUUUUGUAGUUUAAUGUAAUGUUUUAUUUGGAAAUGUCACAGUUGACUCAAAAUUGUAAUUUUUUGUAGUUUUUUGUAGUUUUUUGUAGUUUAAUGUAGUUCAAUGCAAUGUUUUAUUUGGAACUGUUUUAGUUUACCUAAAUUUGAUUGGCAAAUUAUACUGUUGAAUCAAAUAUGUAGUUAACCGUAUUUUUUUGUAGUUUUAUGUAAUUUUUAUUUAAUACUGUCUCUGUUGACUCGAAUUUGAUUGGCAGUUUAUAAUGUCGAAUAAAAUUUGUAGCUAAUUGCAGUUUUUUGUAUAUUAAUGUAGUUUCUUGUAAUUUUUAUUUGGAAGUGUCACUAUUGACUCAGUUUUGUAGUUAAUUAUAGUUUAUGUAGUUUACUGUACUUUUUAUUUGGAACUGUUAUAAAAAUACAGUAGAUAUAAAUAGUUACAUUGUUCAUGCUCAAUAAAUUUAUAGUUAGAGUAUAGUUCCUUGUAGUUAUACUGUAGUUUGUAGGUUAAAAUUUAUGUUAUACUUUUGGAAAAUAACUUCUACUGAGAAUGUAGGAAAAAUGUAGUUUGUAUGUUAAAAAUGUAGUUAUAUGAUUUGUUACAUUAUAUAUUGUAAUGCUGAAAUCUAGCUUCAUUCUAGCGACAAUUAAUAUAUUUUUUUUGCAGAAUGGACCUUGCUAUGCUCAACAUAAUGUUGAUUAUGGUGUGAUACGGUUCCAUAGCUUGUGCGAUCCAACGAUACCUAGCCAGAUAAAGUCUUUAUUAUCCCCA